rnacentral:hammerhead_ribozyme from 1 species
AUUCAGCUGACGAGUCCCAACUAGGAUGAAAUGCGCAUCAAGAUGGAU